rnacentral:rRNA from 1 species
GAUGAACGCUGGCGGAGUGCCUAACACAUGCAAGUCGAGCGGCAGCGCGAGUAGUUUACUACUUGGCGGCGAGCGGCGGACGGCUGAGUAACGCGUGGGAACAUGCCCCCAAAGUGAGGAAUAACUGCCCGAAAGGGUAGCUAAUGCCGCAUACGAUCUUCGGAUUAAAGGAUUUAUCCGCUUUGGGAGUGGCCUGCGUACGAUUAGAUAGUUGGUGAGGUAAUGGCUCACCAAGUCUACGAUCGUUAACUGGUUUGAGAGGAUGAUCAGUCAGACUGGAACUGAGACACGGUCCAGACUCCUACGGGAGGCAGCAGUGAGGAAUCUUCCACAAUGGACGAAAGUCUGAUGGAGCAACUCCGCGUGCAGGAUGAAGGCCUUCGGUC